UGUCUGUGCUCUUACUUGUUCAAUGUUCAUCCUGAGCUUCCAACUGGCAUACAACUGCAGGGCAAGUGUACAACUGGAGACGGUAUGUUCUAAGUCUAUCUAUAUCUAAAUGAAUAACUCUUAUAAUGAUCCAUCAGUUGAAUAUGUACAGCUGUUCCAUGUUAUGAUUGAAGUGUUAUCUGAAGGUAAUCCAUUUUAUCAAUGCAACACUCUGAAAUGAGAAUUGUAUCACUGUAUUGUCUGUUCUGUUUUUGUGUCCAUAUGAUAUGAGCGCUAUCCUGAGAUUCCAACAUGGUCAGAGUCCAGUUAAUCCAGCCUGUAAUUCAAACAAGUGAUCAUCAUUUUCAAACCAACAUCUCCCAUAAUUGCUCUUCUUUCUUGAGCUAGUAAGCUUCACCCAGCCAAGUCAUUCUAAGCCAUCCAAAUCAUAAUGGAUGCUUCCAAACAUUAUAGGAAGCAUCCACAAAGACUGCCUGCAUCCAUCCAUUUGUCUCCUAAUAUCACAAUUAAGUCAAUAGAACAACACAAAAUUGAUUUCUGCAAUACGCUACAUAUUUGAAACUUCCUCCUUAUCCUAUAUUUGAUUUUUCUACGCCAUGAACUGUUUUUAUGAAGAGGCACACAACCAAUCAAAAGGUUUGUGCAUCAAAACCCAAUAUCUCCUGUCCACUACUCCCAAAAGAUUUCUGCAAUUUACUACACAUCAAACUUCCUUCUCCAAUAUGACUCUCAGCCCCAUGAACUGUUUUUAUGAAGAGGCACACAACCAAUAAAAAGGUUUGUACAUGAAAACCCAAUUUCUACGAUCCACUACUCCAAAAAGAUUUCUACAAUAUUCAAACUUCUCCAUUAUAUGAUUCUCUGCUCCAUGAACUGUAUUUUAUGAAACUGCACAAAACCGAUAAAAAGUUUUGUGCAGAACAAGUCAAUAACUACUGUCCACUACUCCCAAAAGAUUUUUGCAAUGCAUUACAUAUGUGAAACUUCCGCUUAUCCAUUAUGAUUCUCUGCUCCAAGAAACUGUUUUUAUGAAGAGGCACACAACCAAUCAAAGGGUAAAUUCAUAUCUGCAAUACUGUAAUUGACUCCUUUCUUAAAGCAGUCUUUCACCUGCUGAUACAUUUUUCAGGUUUGUGUAUGAAAACCCAAUAUCUACUGUCCACUGUUCCCAAAAGAUUUCUACAAUAUGCUACACUUAAAACUUCUCCAUUAUAUGAUUCUCUGCUCCAUGAACUGUAUUUUAUGAAGCUGCACAAAACCGAUAAAAAGUUUUGUGCAGAACAAGUCCGUAACUACUGCCCACUACUCCCAAAAGAUUUCUGCAAUGCGCUACAUAUGUGAAACUUCCUCCUUAUUCAUUCUGAUUCUCCACUCCAUGAACUGUUUUUAUGAAGAGGCACACAACCAAUAAAAAGGUUUGUGCAACACGUUACACUUCAAACGUCCGUCUUAUCCAUUAUGAUUCUCUGCUUCCUGAACUAUUUUUAUGAAGAGGCACACAACCAAUAAAAAGGUUUGUGCAUGAAAACCCAAUAUCCAUUGUCCACUGUUCCCAAAAGAUUUCUGCAAUACGCUACAUAUGUGAAACUUCCUCCUUAUCCAUUCUGAUUCUCCGCUCCAAGAAACUGUUUUUAUGAAGAGGCACACAACCAAUAAAAAGGUUUGUGUAUGAAAACCCAAUUUCUACGAUCCACUACUCCAAAAAGAUUUCUACAAUAUGCUACACUUAAAACUUCUCCAUUAUAUGAUUCUCUGCUCCAUGAACUGUAUUUUAUGAAGCUGCACAAAACCGAUAAAAAGUUUUGUGCAGAACAAGUCCGUAACUACUGCCCACUACUCCCAAAAGAUUUCUGCAAUGCGCUACAUAUGUGAAACUUCCUCCUUAUUCAUUCUGAUUCUCCACUCCAUGAACUGUUUUUAUGAAGAGGCACACAACCAA